rnacentral:rRNA from 1 species
GUCUACAGCCAAAGCACAAUGAACACACCCGAUCUCAUCUGAUCUCAGAAACUAAAUCAGUCCUGGUUAAUACGUGGAUGGAAGAAAUACAGAUAGGGUACAAACUAAAGCUGGUGCCU